UAACACGUGUGCAACCAACCCCGUACCGGGAGAUAACCCGCGGAAACGUGGACUAACAUCCCAUGAGACUCUAGAGCCGCAUGGCUCUAGAUUUAAAAUUCCGGUGGUACGGGACGGGCACGCGCGACAUUAGGUAGUUGGCGGGGUAACGGCCCACCAAGCCGACGAUGUCUAGGGGUUCUGAGAGGAAGGUCCCCCACACUGGAACUGAGACACGGUCCAGACCCCUACGGGAGGCAGCAGUGAGGAAUAUUGGUCAAUGGGCGAGAGCCUGAACCAGCCAAGUCGCGUGAGGGAAGAAUGG
rnacentral:rRNA from 1 species